UGCUUAGAUAUCUGCCGAUAGGUGGGGACGAACAGUUGGAACGAACUGCUAAUAACCGCAUAAUGUCUACGGACCAAAGUAGGGGGACCGUUCGGGCCGUCACGCCUAUUGAUGAGUCUAAGUGGGAGUUAGCUAGUUGGUGGGGUAAGUGGCUCACCAAGGCGACGAUCCUAGCUGGUCUGAGAGGAUGAUCAGCCACACUGGAACUGAGACACGGUCCAGACUCCUACGGGAGGCAGCAGUGGGGAAGUAUUGGACAAUGGGCGGCAAAGCCUGAUCCAGCCAUGCCGCGUGUGUGAA
rnacentral:rRNA from 1 species